rnacentral:rRNA from 1 species
GUGAGGAAUUUUCCGCAAUGGGCGAAAGCCUGACGGAGCAAUGCCGCGUGAAGGAUGAAGGCCUAUGGGUUGUAAACUUCUUUUCUUAGAGAAGAAUAUUGACGGUAUCUGAGGAAUAAGCAUCGGCUAACUCUGUGCCAGCAGCCGCGGUAAGACAGAGGAUGCAAGCGUUAUCCGGAAUGAUUGGGCGUAAAGCGUCUGUAGGUGGCUUCAAAAGUCUCCUGUGAAAGAUCAGGGCUUAACCCUGGGCCGGCAGGAGAACCUCUGAGGCUAGAGUUUGGUAGGGGCAGAGGGAAUUCCCGGUGGAGCGGUGAAAUGCGUAGAGAUCGGGAGGAACACCAAAGGCGAAAGCACUCUGCUGGGCCACAACUGACACUGAGAGACGAAAGCGAGGGGAGCAAAAGGGAUUAGAAACCCUUGUAGUCC